rnacentral:pre_miRNA from 1 species
UUGGGGAAGAUGAAGUAGAGCAGGGACCUCACGCUCAAGAAGCGGUGAGGUGCCUGACCUACUUCAUCUUCACCAAC